GGGCCCGUGUGGAAAUGGAUAUCCGACUAGGCUUCGGACCUGGGGUUAAGGGUUCAAAUCCCUUCGGGCUCA
rnacentral:tRNA from 1 species